AAGAGAGACAGAGAGAGAGUGAGAUAGAAAUAGAAAGAGAGUGAGAGAGGAACAGAGACAGAGGGAGAGCUAGUGCAGACCGCCUGGUUAGAGGGUUAAGGCUGUAGCCUGUUUUACCCAUGAGGCCUGAAAGGAGAUAUCACAAAAUCCCCUCUAAAAGGCUUCUAGGCUGGAUUUGCGGUGCUGAGAGAGUGUGUCAGGGGCGGAGAUAAGCAGAUGUGAGGCACCGUGGUGAGGAAUCUUUCUGCUGUGAAUGAAGUGAGUCACUGAUAGACUCUUCACAAGAUGUCAAUACCAGAAGACACUAGAACACCCGACAUCAUGUGACUUUAGUAUUUCCUGUUCCAGCCAACCCCCAGUUGGAUACUUGAGUCUGAAGAUGGAAACUAUUGUGAUGCAAAAUAGAUAAUUAAGAAUGGUGAGGAAUAAAGCCCACAUUUCAAGUAAA